rnacentral:rRNA from 1 species
GACGAACGCUGGCGGCGUGCUUAACACAUGCAAGUCGAACGAAGUGGCGAACGGGUGAGUAACGCGUAAUCAACCUGCCCUUCAGAGGGGGACAACAGUUGGAAAAGACUGCUAAUACCGCAUACUGAAGGAGGGGAUUGCGUCUGCUUAGCUAGUUGGAGGGGUAACGGCCCACCAAGGCGAGUAUCAUGAGCCGGUUUGGGAGGAGGAACGGCCACCUUGGGACUGAUGAACUGCCCAGACUCCUACGGGAGGCAGCCGGGGGGAAUCUUCCGCAAUGGACGAAAGUCUGACGGAGCAACGCCGCGUUAGUGAUGACUGCCUUCGGGUUGGAAAGCUCUGUUAAUCGGGACGCGGUACCGGAAUAGAAAGCCACGGCUAACUACGUGCCAGCAGCCGCGGUAAUAC